GCGAACGCUGGCGGCGUGCUUAACACAUGCAAGUCGCGCGCGAAAGAGGCUUUCGGGUCUUGAGUAGAGCGGCGCACGGGUGCGUAAGACGCGGGUGACCUAUCCACGAGGUGGGGAUAACCCUUCGAAAGAGGGGCUAAUACCGGAUGAGCCCACAGGCAGAGAUGCUAGGGGGGCAAAGGGUGCGAUUUACUAAGCGCAUCUCUUCGUGGCGGGGCCCACGGCCUAUCAGCUAGUUGGUGUGGUAACGGCACACCAAGGCGAAGACGGGUAGCUGGUCUGAGAGGAUGGCCAGCCACACGGGGACUGAGACACGGCCCCGACUCCUACGGGAGGCAGCAGUGGGGAAUAUUGGGCAAUGGGCGCAAGCCUGACCCAGCGACGCCGCGUGGGUGAUGAAGGCC
rnacentral:rRNA from 1 species